GCUUAUGCGUUGUUGGGUAGGGGAGCGUUCUGUAAGCCUGCGAAGGUGGCCUGUGAGGGUUGCUGGAGGUAUCAGAAGUGCGAAUGCUGACAUAAGUAACGAUAAAGCGGGUGAAAAGCCCGCUCGCCGGAAGACCAAGGGUUCCUGUCCAACGUUAAUCGGGGCAGGGUGAGUCGACCCCUAAGGCGAGGCCGAAAGGCGUAGUCGAUGGGAAACGGGUUAAUAUUCCCGUACUUGGUGUUACUGCGAAGGGGGGACGGAGAAGGCUAUGUUGGCCGGGCGACGGUUGUCCCGGUUUAAGCGUGUAGGUGUGUGUUCCAGGUAAAUCCGGUUCACUUUAACACUGAGGCGUGAUGACGAGGCACUACGGUGCUGAAGCAACAAAUGCCCUGCUUCCAGGAAAAGCCUCUAAGCAUCAGGUAACAUCAAAUCGUACCCCAAACCGACACAGGUGGUCAGGUAGAGAAUACCAAGGCGCUUGAGAGAACUCGGGUGAAGGAACUAGGCAAAAUGGUGCCGUAA
rnacentral:rRNA from 1 species